UGGACAGCACUUUGGAGAGCCAGAGCGCAUGGGAGUUCUGCCUGGUCCGCGAGAACAGUUCAAGGGCAGACGGGGUUUUUGAGGAGGAUUCGCAAAUUGACAUAGCCACAGUACAGGAUAUGCUUAGCAGCCACCAUUACAAGUCAUUCAAAGUCAGCAUGAUCCACAGACUGCGAUUCACAACCGACGUACAGCUAGAUGUUGUUUAUCAGCCACUGCGCUUCCUCCCUCUGGGCCCGGACCUAACCUCAGAAUUUGUUCCAACACAGUCCUAUAAGCAACCCCUACCCAUCAAUUGAAGUAGGUGUGCACUCUUCCCGGGGGUGCUCAGGAAGAGGGCUGCUCCCGUGGACUGCCUCAGGCCGAGUGCUGACACAUGGCGGCAGGAGCAGAUAGGGUGCUGCGGUGCUGCCUGCGCUGCCUUAAGAAGCUGAGACUCACACAAGUGUUAAGAGGGUAUCUCUGGAGACAAAGUAGAGAUAGACCCUGUUACGAAUCAGAAAGCCAGCACUAAGUUUUGGAUUAAGCAGAAACCCAUCUCAAUCGAUUCCGACCUGCUCUGUGCCUGUGACCUUGCUGAAGAGAAAAGCCCCAGUCACGCAAUAUUUAAACUCACGUAUCUAAGCAAUCACGACUAUAAACACCUCUACUUUGAAUCGGACGCUGCUACCGUCAAUGAAAUUGUGCUCAAGGUUAACUACAUCCUGGAAUCGCGAGCUAGCACUGCCCGGGCUGACUACUUUGCUCAAAAACAAAGAAAACUGAACAGACGUACGAGCUUCAGCUUCCAGAAGGAGAAGAAAUCCGGGCAGCAGUGACACUGGCCUCCAGCCUCAAUCUGUUCCGUAGCUCAGAGCCUGCCUGCCAGGGCCAAGUGCCCUAGAGUCCACCC
rnacentral:lncRNA from 1 species